rnacentral:rRNA from 1 species
AGUUCGGAUUGAAGGCUGAAAUUCGCCUUCAUGAAGCCGGAAUUGCUAGUAAUGGCAGGUCAGCAUACUGCCGUGAAUACGUUCCCGGGCCUUGUACACACCGCCCGUCACACCAUGAGAGUUGGAGAUACCCGAAGCCUAUGAGCUAACUUUUAGAGGCAGUAGUCGAAGGUAGAAUCAAUGAUUGGGGUGAAGUCGUAACAAGGUAGC